rfam:Trichobilharzia regenti genome assembly, scaffold: TRE_scaffold0010902
GUACCAAUGAAGAGUCCCAAACUAGGACGAAACAGUUGUCCAGUAC